rnacentral:lncRNA from 12 species
UGGAACUGAGGAGUUGAGAGUUAUGAGAGCAGCAUCCCACAGAGGGGACAAAUGCAAGGCCAUUAUAGGAAAGGGUAAUAUAAGAUCUACUCACAAAUAAAGAUGAGCAUUUUGGAAAGGAUUUGGGCAUUUAAAAAAGUGAACAAUGCAUCUGGGGUUUGGUGCUGAUCUAAUUAAACUUGUGAGGCUGCAAAGGAUUCAUCCCCACCCAGUGAGAAGCAGCCAGGUUGCAGUUGCUGUGGGAACAGCGCCACCAACCAGACCAAUUUGUUAAAAACUCCUUUUGAAUUCUUACCUAUGAUAAAAUCGAGUAAGUAUUCUUCAGUUUAUAAUUUAAAACGUAUUUGCAACAUAUGGAAUUUACAAUAUUUAUGUACU